CGGACCUCCAAUCAGUCAAGAUUACCCGCUGAAUUAAGCAUAU
rnacentral:rRNA from 1 species